CUGCUGCCUUCCGUAGGAGUCUGGGCCGUGUCUCAGUCCCAAUGUGGCCGGCCGCCCUCUCAGGCCGGCUACUGAUCGUCGCCUUGGUGGGCCGUUACCCCGCCAACGAGCUAAUCAGACGCGGGCCCAUCCCAUACCACCGGAGUUUUCCCCAGGAAGCUAUGCAGCCUCCUGGGCGUAUGCGGUAUUAGCAGCCGUUUCCGGCUGUUAUCCCCCGGUAUGGGGCAGGUUGCCCACGCGUUACUCACCCGUCCGCCA
rnacentral:rRNA from 1 species